rnacentral:tRNA from 2 species
GGGGGUGUCGUUCAGUGGUAGGACUUCGGUCUCCAAAACCGAAAACGGGAGUUCGAUUCUCUCCACCCCUGCCG